rnacentral:rRNA from 1 species
UACGGGGGGGGCAAGCGUUGUUCGGAAUUACUGGGCGUAAAGGGCUCGUAGGUGGCCAACUAAGUCAGACGUGAAAUCCCUCGGCUUAACCGGGGAACUGCAUCUGAUACUGGAUGGCUGGAGAUUGGGAGAGGGAUGCGGAAUUCCAGGUGUAGCGGUGAAAUGCGUAGAUAUCUGGAGGAACACCGGUGGCGAAGGCGGCAUCCUGGACCAACACUGACACUGAGGAGCGAAAGCCAGGGGAGCAAACGGG